GGGAAGAUGCAGCCUCCGUUGAUGCUCAUAUCAAGGUGCUAAAUGAUCAGCACAGGACGCUACAUCCUGACACAGCACUGGUGAAAGACCGCAUGACAAAAACCUUUGCAUGGAGACGUCGAGAGGUAGCUGAAGGAAUGUGUACUGUGGACCUAUUAAAGAGAUAUCCAUUCCUGGGGACAUCUGCAGGGUUGUGUGAUGAGGUUGAUUUAAUGCAUCCCUGCCAAGACAACAUCUGUUGCCGCUUUAGCGAGAACUUCACUGCUGUUCUUCAAAAUGUUCUUGAAAUGACCAAGGAUUUGCCACUGAAGAAGGUCUACAUGGAAGCAAGAGAGAAUGCACUGGCUGAAGACAUUACAGGAAUUGACUUCAAGGGGGCACUUCUCCUCUUGCCAUCCAUCUUCAAGGAGAAGAUAGAAGAUUUCAUCAUCCUUGGAGAGGUAAAUGCAUGAUGCAAUGCAUAGCCUUUGGCCACAAGUUUCAUUCUCGGUGUUUUGUUGGCAUGGAGCUGAAUUCAGCUGCGGUUCAGCAUCACAGCUAAGCUAAUGUAGGGGAAACACUGCUGUUAAUCCACAGACUUACAGAAUGCUCUGGAAAUGAACAAAAGUUUUACAGAUGUGCAUUUUCAGGAUAAAGUGCUUCAGCGUGUGUCUGCUAUAUCUGUCAGCAGUGUCAAAUAUGAACUUGAGGAUGUUUUUGUAGUUGGCCAUGUGCACACUGAAGCCAUACCUAUAUUCUUUAAAAUCAAGUAUAUUUUGAAUGUUGAUACUUGUUGGGUAUUGUGUGGGAAACUGUUACUUCCUUGCACUUAUGAAUGUCAUUUCCAUGCUUACCAAGUGGCAGUUCACAAUGACUGGAUCCUGUUCAAUCCAGGAAAUGAAUUAGACUUUCAAGCUCUAGACACCUAUUUAGUUGAUGAUAGGCUGUUUGUGUCCUUGAGGUAUUCUGUGUGACGUGAUUGCAAGCACAUUUUCCACUUUGUCUAUAUAUAUGACAUACAGGGAGUGCAGAAUUAUUAGGCAAGUUGUAUUUUUGAGGAAUAAUUUUAUUAUUGAACAACAACCAUGUUCUCAAUGAACCCAAAAAACUCAUUAAUAUCAAAGCUGAAUGUUUUUGGAAGUAGUUUUUAGUUUGUUUUAGUUUUAGCUAUUUUAGGGGAUAUUUGUGUGUGCAGGUGACUAUUACUGUGCAUAAUUAUUAGGCAACUUAACAAAA
ensembl:lncRNA